rnacentral:rRNA from 1 species
UACAGGGGGGGCAAGCGUUGUCCGGAAUUACUGGGCGUAAGGCGCGCGCAGGCGGUCUUGGACGUGCCGUGUGACAGACGUCGGCUCGACCGACGUAGGCCAGGGUACACGACAAGACUGGAGGCAGAGAGAGGGAUGUGGAAUACCCGGUGGAGCGGUGAAAUGCGUAGAGAUCGGGUGGAACACCAGGGGCGAAGGCGGCAUCCUGGCUCUGUACUGACGCUGAGGCGCGAGAGCGUGGGUAGCAAACCGG